rnacentral:sRNA from 1 species
CAAGGCUGCUGUGUAGAUCUCUUUCUCUUCCCUAACCAGUGGAGAAUGACCAGGAACGGUUCCUGAGUGACCUGCGUCGUGAUGUCCAGAAGGUUGUUGGCUUUGAUGCUGUGAUGCGGGUCCGGACAAGCACUGGUAUCCGUGCUGUAGAUUUUUUUGGAGCUUUCUACAUGAGCAACACGACAGAUGUGGAGCUGGCUGGGCUAGAUGGGGACAAAACAGUGACUGUGGAGUUCAAGCAUGAUGAUCGGCUCAAUGAAGACAGCGGAGCCCUCCUACAGUGUGCCCUGCUUUACACCAGCUGUGCAGGGCAGCGUCGGCUCCGCAUCCAUAAUCUGGCCCUGAACUGCUGCACCCAGCUGGCUGAUCUGUAUCGAAACUGUGAGACUGACACGCUCAUCAACUACAUGGCCAAGUUUGGUGAGGGUAGAGGCAGGGCAGGGUGGGAUUGGGGCUGAGAGGUCCAGGAUGGUGAGUGGGUAGUUGUGAUGGUGGGAAUGCGCACAUGAUGGGCAGCUGACCAGUGACUAUCUUUGCUUUCCCAUCCAGCAUAUCGGGGAGUCCUGAAUAGCCCUGUGAAGGCUGUUCGUGACACUCUCGUCACCCAGUGUGCCCAGAUCCUGGCCUGUUACAGAAAGAACUGUGCUAGCCCCUCCUCUGCAGGACAGUUGAUCCUUCCUGAGUGCAUGAAGCUACUCCCAGUUUACCUGAACUGUGUGUUGAAGAGUGAUGUCCUGCAGCCUGGAGCUGAAGUCACUACUGAUGACCGUGCCUAUGUCCGACAGCUAGUUACCUCCAUGGAUGUGGCUGAGACCAAUGUCUUCUUCUACCCUCGGCUCUUACCUUUGACAAAGUCUCCCAUUGAGAGUACCACCGAACCACCAGCAGUUCGAGCCUCUGAAGAGCGUCUAAGCAAUGGGGAUAUAUAUUUACUGGAGAAUGGGCUCA